rnacentral:rRNA from 1 species
GAUGAACGCUGGCGGCGUGCUUAACACAUGCAAGUCGAACGAAGCGUUUAAGACAGAAGCCUUCGGGUGGAAGAUUUAAAUGACUGAGUGGCGGACGGGUGGGUAACGCGUGGGCAACCUGCCUCAUACAAGGGGAUAACACCCAGAAAUGGGUGCUAAUACCGUAUAAGCUUACAGAAUCGCAUGAUUCAGUAAGAAAAACUCCGGUGGUAUGAGAUGGGCCCGCGUCUGAUUAGCUAGUUGGUAGGGUAAUGGCCUACCAAGGCGACGAUCAGUAGCCGACCUGAGAGGGUGACCGGCCACCUUGGGACUAAGACACGGCCCAAACGCCUACGGGAGGCAGCAGUGGGGAAUAUUGCACAAUGGGGGAAACCCUGAUGGAGCGACGCCGCGUGAAGGAAGAAGUAUUUCGGUAUGUAAACUUCUAUCAGCAGGGAAGAACAUGACGGUACCUGACUAAGAAGCCCCGGCUAAUUACGUGCCAGCCGCCGCGGUAACAC